AAAUUGAAGAGUUUGAUCAUGGCUCAGAUUGAACGCUGGCGGCAGGCCUAACACAUGCAAGUCGAGCGGAAACGGCAGCAUUGAAGCUUCGGUGGAUUUGCUGGACGUCGAGCGGCGGACGGGUGAGUAACGGCUGGGAACCUGCCCUGACGMGGGGGAUAACCGUUGGAAACGACGGCUAAUACCGCAUAAUGUCUYAGUUCAUUACGAGCUGGGACCAAAGGUGGCCUCUACAUGUAAGCUAUCGCGUUGGGAUGGGCCCAGUUAGGAUUAGCUAGUUGGUAAGGUAAUGGCUUACCAAGGC
rnacentral:rRNA from 1 species